UAGGGAAUCUUCGGCAAUGGACGGAAGUCUGACCGAGCAACGCCGCGUGAGUGAAGAAGGUUUUCGGAUCGUAAAGCUCUGUUGUAAGAGAAGAACGAGUGUGAGAGUGGAAAGUUCACACUGUGACGGUAUCUUACCAGAAAGGGACGGCUAACUACGUGCCAGCAGCCGCGGUAAUACGUAGGUCCCGAGCGUUGUCCGGAUUUAUUGGGCGUAAAGCGAGCGCAGGCGGUUAGAUAAGUCUGAAGUUAAAGGCUGCGGCUUAACCAUAGUACGCUUUGGAAACUGUUUAACUUGAGUGCAAGAGGGGAGAGUGGAAUUCCAUGUGUAGCGGUGAAAUGCGUAGAUAUAUGGAGGAACACCGGUGGCGAAAGCGGCUCUCUGGCUUGUAACUGACGCUGAGGCUUGAAAGCGUGGGGAGCAAACAGGAUUAGAUACCCUGGUAGUCCACGCCGUAAACGAUGAGUGCUAGGUGUUAGACCCUUUCCGGGGUUUAGUGCCGCAGCUAACGCAUUAAGCACUCCGCCUGGGGAGUACGACCGCAAGGUUG
rnacentral:rRNA from 1 species